AAACUUUUGUGUCCCUUGGGUGCCCCUGGGUGUUUGUAGUCUGCGUGUCUAGUUUCUGUUAUAAGAGCUAGUCUCGUUUGUAUUGCCUUCUCCCAGUCGAUCCCUUG
rnacentral:rRNA from 1 species